AUCAGCCAAGGGCAAACCGUUUGAAAGAAUGGGACGCAAAGUCACGGGUCUAACGUAGCAAUACUAUGAUGGCUGGGCUACCUGA
rnacentral:ncRNA from 1 species